AUUUGAAUGCCACGUUGUAACACAAUAAAAUGUGAUGAAAUCCAAGGAGACUUGGCCCUGUAUUUAUGCUGCAAGGUGACUUGUAGAUCAGUCCGUCUCCAUUCACCUUUCAGGUCGGCUUCAAUGUCGACGGCACCUCAUGAGUCACCUCUACUCAGCAAUGCAUCAGAUAUUUUUAAUGGACAAACAUCUAAACUUUCCAGCUACACGGUUGUAAAGCCUCAGCUUGUUCACAGGAGAUGGGCAAGAAAUGCCGACAGACGUCCUGACUGGGGAAAG
ensembl:lncRNA